GAUGAAGAACGCAGCGAACUGCGAUAAGUAAUGUGAAUUGCAGAAUUCAGUGAAUCAUCGAGUCUUUGAACGCACAUUGCGCCCCCUGGCAUUCCGGGGGGCAUGCCUGUCCGAGCGUCAUUGCUGCCCUUCAAGCCCGGCUUGUGUGUUGGGUCGUCGUCCCCCCCGGGGGACGGGCCCGAAAGGCAGCGGCGGCACCGCGUCCGGUCCUCGAGCGUAUGGGGCUUUGUCACCCGCUCGAUUAGGGCCGGCCGGGCGCCAGCCGGCGUCUCCAACCUUUUAUUUUACCAGGUUGACCUCGGAUCAGGUAGGGAUACCCGCUGAACUUAAGCAUAUCAAUAACGGAGGA
rnacentral:misc_RNA from 1 species